GAGAGUCUGCGGCAGGAAGCAGCGUCACUGUGUUAAAGAGACAGGACCGCACGCAGACAGCGGAACCGACCGGCACUGAGGUCCAAUCACAAGACAGACACACCGAGCAGAACCGACCGGCACUGAGGUCCAAUCACAAGACAGACACACCGAGCAGAACCGACCGGCACUGAGGUCCAAUCACAAGACAGAGACACGUGUCUUCUUGUGUCUCUUAUUAUAUUUUCGUGUUUCUCUCUGUAGGUCCUCACUGUCAGUGGCGGGGUACGCCAUCCUAAUGUGUGAUCCAGCCUCACUGUCCCCUCCGACAUCUUACAGAAUAAACAUACAUGCAUUAA